AUUGAACGCUGGCGGCAGGCCUAACACAUGCAAGUCGAGCGGAUGAAGGGAGCUUGCUCCUGGAUUCAGCGGCGGACGGGUGAGUAAUGCCUAGGAAUCUGCCUGGGAGUGGGGGAUAACGUCCGGAAACGGGCGCUAAUACCGCAUACGUCCUGAGGGAGAAAGGGGGGGAUCUUCGGACCUCACGCUAUCAGAUGAGCCUAGGUCGGAUUAGCUAGUUGGUGGGGUAAAGGCCUACCAAGGCGACGAUCCGUAACUGGUCUGAGAGGAUGAUCAGUCACACUGGAACUGAGACACGGUCCAGACUCCUACGGGAGGCAGCAGUGGGGAAUAUUGGACAAUGGGCGAAAGCCUGAUCCAGCCAUGCCGCGUGUGUGAAGAAGGUCUUCGGAUUGUAAAGCACUUUAAGUUGGGAGGAAGGGAAGUAAGUUAAUACCUUGCUGUUUUGACGUUACCAACAGAAUAAGCACCGGCUAACUUCGUG
rnacentral:rRNA from 1 species